UGACACCUGCGGUGUACGGAGCGUAAAUUAAGCGGAAUCCACAGAGAAUUUACGGGAGCGCUCGUCGCAAAGAGCUAGGCAAGGUCUGUACCGGAAUACGGAAAGUCCGAAGCUCUUUCGCUGCGCACCCACCUGCGAGAAGCGGGUUCACCAUUCUUUGCGCUGCGGCACAGGCGGAUGUCCC
rnacentral:other from 1 species